rnacentral:rRNA from 1 species
AUGCAUGCAUACGUCACUCGGGUUGAGAGUUCUGACACCAUUGACAAUGUCAAGGCCAAGAUCAAGGACAAGGAGGGCAUCCGCCCUGACCAGCAGGGCCUUAUCUUUGCUGGUAAGCAGCUGGACGAUGGCCGCAGCCUCACUGACUACAACAACCCGAAGGAGUCCACCCUUCACCUGCUGUCACCUCCGUGGUGGCCAUCCAUCCAUCAGUCUGAGGAGCUGCUCAUACCUGGCCUCAACUAA